rnacentral:rRNA from 1 species
UGAGUUUGAUUCUGGCUCAGGAUGAACGCUAGCGGCAAGCCUAACACAUGCAAGUCGAACGGUAACUUUUGGUGCUUGCACCGAAAGACGAGUGGCGAACGGGUGCGUAACGCGUAUGCAAUCUACCUUUUACUAGGGUAUAGCCCGAAGAAAUUUGGAUUAAUCCCCUAUAAUAUCAUGAAUUCGCAUGAUUUUAUGAUUAAAGCUUCGGCGGUAAAAGAUGAGCAUGCGUCCUAUUAGUUAGUAGGUGAGGUAACGGCUCACCUAGACUACGAUAGGUAGGGGUCCUGAGAGGGAGAUCCCCCACACUGGUACUGAGACACGGACCAGACUCCUACGGGAGGCAGCAGUGAGGAAUAUUGGACAAUGGACGAAAGUCUGAUCCAGCUAUGCCGCGUGCAGGAUGACGGCCCUAUGGGUUGUAAACUGCUUUUAUACAGGAAGAAAAAAUCCGACGUGUCGGAUCUUGACGGUACUGUAAGAAUAAGGAUCGGCUAACUCCGUGCCAGCAGCCGCGGUAAUACGGAGGAUCCAAGCGUUAUCCGGAAUCAUUGGGUUUAAAGGGUCCGCAGGCGGUUUUUUAAGUCAGAGGUGAAAUCCUACAGCUCAACUGUAGAAUUGCCUUUGAUAUCGAAAGACUUGAGU